AUCAAACCUCCUUGGAGCCUUAGCAGACCUUUUGGAUCUCUCCAUGCUGCCACCUGUAAGUCAAAAAACAGGUCCUACACUUUUCUAAGAUCAGAGAAAGAAAAUUGAUGAUUGAAGAGAAUUGCACCACCCUCCCAACACACAUUUAAGAGCACACAUAAGGAGCAGUCUCUUUUUCUUUAAAAAUGGCAGCUGUUUAGCACAGAGGAAGUGCUUCUCGUAUUUGGUAUGAAGACAAAAACAGGAGGGACAGGUGAAGAACAGCUCUGAACUGCAAAGAAAUACAAAACACAAAUGCAAAAGUGAAGCACCUGAGGAGGCUCAAAGGGCAAUCUACAGCAAUCCUCUGUUUCUUUAAUUUGAGGGCUGAGCUGCCUCAUCAGAAUUUUCAGAUAGCAGACAGGAUGAAAGUAUGGGACUUAAGUGCUCAUGUCUGAGAGGCCUUUACAUUCUCAACACCAGUGAUGAGAUAUCCAAAGGGAUUUCCAGUAACCACCUAAAUAUCCCUGAUAUUAUUGUCACACCACCAAGUCCUACAGGAACUAUAACAGCCAGAUCUACUGGGAAACAAGCCCAUCUGGAGACUAAUGACAAGAUCUGCUGCUGAUGCCAGCCCUGGGAACAUAUAGAACUUUUAACUGACAAGAAAUGACAAUGCAAAUAAAAACACUAGCUUUUUCCAGGUUUACAUCAGUCCCUUGAACAUGUGUUAUAUAAAGGAAAGGAAAGAUGCUAUGAAUACAAAAAUGCCAUGAUAAUAUUAUCUGCCCACCUCACCUGUACACCCUGCUAUGAUCAUGCACAUGCAGUUUCUAAUAAAGGUCUUCCUCUUUUUUCAUUAUUUUAGUUUGACCAUAAUGUUGGUGUUUUUAUGUAAAGGGAAAUUAAACUGGAACAAAAAACCCCUGUCAUUGCAUGAAAAGU